UCUUCCUCCUUCGUCUCCUAUCUUCCUCUUCCGAAUCACUCU
rnacentral:sRNA from 1 species